rnacentral:lncRNA from 1 species
CUCUUCUAUCUACCUGCUGUGCACCAGCCCAAGACUUCACCUUUCUUGCGUUGAUGAAGGCAGGAGCCUCCACUCUUAUUACAGAGUUGUUCUCCCAAAGCAGCUGAUAUUAUCAAACAGGAACCAGUCCAGGUCAUUCACUACAAAAGAACUUGUUCUCCCUCUAUUACUGAGCUACAUCCUCAGCUCUUUUUAAAAUCUUAUUUAAAAUCUUAUUUUGAGAUAAGAUCUCACUAAGUUGCCCAGGCUGGCCUCCAACUUGCCACCCUCUUGCCUCAGCAUCCCAAGUAGUCAGGACUGGAGAGGAAUGCCACCCCUACCGGCUAGAAUGCCUGUCUUCUUGACCUCCUCACAAUGACUAAGGUUGCACCCUGAUGUCACUGCUCUGAGAGACCUCUUCUUCAAACUACUCCAUUGCCCCAUAUUUUCCUGUCUGCUGAAAGGUACAGUCGGUUUCCUGUUACACUAUACCCUUGAACCUAGCCUCUGAUUAUGGAGUAAUCUCAGCGGACAGGUUCUGAUCAUUCUCGCUAAAGAAGAUCGUCUCUGUCUCCCUCAGUCUUUACAUGGUGACAGUCACAGGGCUUGCGGAUGGUCCGAAGUCGCUUCUGAACUUGAAGCUAGGCGCGCGCUCCCCACUAGAGGGCGAUCAAACCUAGUACAACACAAAGCGGGACCGCACUGGGGUGGGAUUUCUGAAGCCUGGUUCUUACGCUGCUAUGAAGUCCUGCAAUCCCUGAGUACUCAGAGGGGCCGAACCUCGCUCCUGUCAUUUCCAGGGAUUGUCGAGGCCAGCCUAAGGAACAUGUCAUACCCCUAAUGGGCCACAACAUUGUCGAGUGCAAGGAUCUGGCCUUCUGCUCACAUGUGGUCACGCCACGAGGCCCUGUUGGGAGGGACUGCUAUUUCACGAGGGAACAAAUGGGGAAGCGGAGACCACCCUGGGGAAAGGACCUAUACUUCGUUACGCAACGAACACAGGGUUACCUAAACCUUCCAAGGCAUCAGGGGUCGCGGAAUGGGCACCGUCCAGUUUCCAAUUACAGCCUCUCCCCUCCCCGCAGAGCUAGUGCAGAAACCGGACGCCCAAUUCACUCAUCCCGCCAGGCUUCAGGGGCGGGGCCGUUUCAACUUCGCCCCGCCCCCAUUGGCUGCGGCGCCGGGGGCGGGGCGUGGCUGCCAGAUGUUGGGGCGGCGGCGGCGGCGGGAGUUCAGCAGUGUGAGGAUUCUCUUAGCAAGGCGCAGGGCGAGGGCGCCGCUGGCUGGCCACCCCAGCCCUCUCCGCGUCGCUCCUGCCGGGAGUCGAGGAGGAAUUGGCAGGGCUGGCGGGAGCUCCGGCAUCGACAUGCACAGCGCUCGACUUGACAGCUUCCUGAGCCAGCUCCGCUGGGAACUGGUGAGGCUUGGGAGUGGGCGUGGUCGUGAGGACCUAUGUGGGGUGCCCAGCUGCCGCCCUGCCAGGAAAACAAACGGGUGCGGGGUCGUUCGGGUGCCCAUCCAGGCGGGAUAGGGGCGGGGCGGGGCGGGGCAGUGGAGCUGGG